CUGAGCUGCCGGAGCGUGCGCACUGGGCCAGCGGGCGGCCGGGGCAGGGCUGGGGUCCCGGCGCUGAGCGCCCCCAGCCGCGCCGGGCAGCCUGGCGCCUCGCUGAGUCGGAGCAACCCCCGGCAGGAGCUUUCAGGCUCUGGUCAAGCCUCGGGACCCGGGAAGCUAUCCCUGCCCUCGGGGGCUCGAGCCUGGAGUGGGGCUUGCAGGAUGUAAUUUUCUUUUUCAAAAUGUCUUCUACGUGGCAAGUUGGCUGCCUCUUCCCAGACAUCUCAUCACUAUUCCAGUCAAGAAGGGGAAGAACAAAAGGCAUACCCACACUAGGUCAGCUCCACUUCACCGCUUUCCUGAAAACUCUCCCCAGAGAGCUCUGUUUUAUCUCAUUGGCUGGGACGGUGUCUCAUGGCCAGCCCUGGCUUCAGAGGAGGCUGGGAGUAUUGUUAUUAUUUUUUAAGAUGGUGUCUUGCUCUGUUGUCCAGUUUGGAGUGCAAUGGCGUGAUCUUGGCUCAUUGCAACCUCCGCCUCCCGGGUUCAAGUGAUUCUCCUGCCUCAGCCUCUCAAGUAGCUGGGAUUACAGGCCCACACCACCACACCCAGCUAAUUUUUGUAUUUUUAGUAGAGAUGGAGUUUUGCCAUGUUGGCCAAGCUGGUCUCAAACUGCAGACCUCAGGUGAUCCACCCACCUUGGCCUCCCAAAAUGCUGGAAUUACAGGUGUGAGCCACCACGCCCGGCCAAGGAUGUUUUUUUUUAAUUGAAGGUACAUUGCUGCCUGAAACAAAGUCAGGGUUCCAUUAGUGAGGAAAAGAAGAAGAAUGACUUUUGAACAGGCAACUAUUGGUUAGUAGAUCCAGGUUUUGUAAAACCUGGAGCCGCUACAGUCCCCCUUAGGAAGAAGAAUUUAAAAACCCCAGUACAAGACUUGGUACAAAAAUGAAAACUUAUUUAGAAUAAUAACAAAUCACAACAAAUUUUAAAAU
rnacentral:lncRNA from 1 species